UACAUAAUUCUUUGUACAUAGGUAGGUAUACAUUACCUGAUCACCACAUGAGUGUGGGUGCUCUUUUUUGCAUAGCUAUUGGGUUUCACCUCUUCUAGCUUGGUAUUGAAGAUUCAUAAUACGAGUAGCUUGCGGGGAUCUUCAAUAUACCAUUAUUUGCCAUCUUUUUAACUUAUAUACAAUUGAAACUCUUGGACUCCUGGGGCAUAAAUUUUUACUUUCAAAGGAAAAUAAGAACAGAGAAGAGUGUUCUCUACUUGUUUUUCCUUCCGAAGGUUUUAAUAAUAGUGAAUUAGUUUACAUAUUUUUAGUUUGUUGAACCAUUUUCUAUGUUUGUUCACCACCCCCACCCUAGCCGAUAACACAUAUAUGCCCAACCUGAUAGUUUCUUCCAUCCGUGCACAACCCGUGCUUUUGGUUUUUAUGCAUAGAAAAUGGGUGAUAGACUGAUGAACUGGUGAACAUGUGUUAUUGCCUAUAUGCUUCAUUACUUUUCUUUUUUUAAUCUAUAGCUUUGAUCUGGUUGAUCAACUAGAUGUUGUGGUCUAACUUGUAACUUUAAGAUCUUCACUUAUUUAAAGGAUUGAGCUCAUGUUGAUCAACUAUUUGCUGUGGGGCUUCAACUCUUUGUGACGAUGCUUAUGGAGCUUUUAUUCAAGCCUUUGGAUGCUAUUUUGAAAGGCCUAACUUUGCCUCUAUGGUUACACUUUGGAGUUUUUUUGCUGCAACUGAGUUGCUAAUGUGAAGUACCUUCAAUUUCUACUUCAACUGGGAGCAACACUCUAGUGCUAAGUUUUAAAUCAUUCUGUUUCUUGCUAUUUGUAAAGAACUUGAUGCUUAUUUGUCUUGUUCUCUCUCUUUCUUUUUAGAUGCUUGGAUUUUUUAUUUCAUACUUUUUGUAGUACGAUUUUUCUUUAUUUUGUACUUUACGAAUUCGAAUAAAGUUUGUCAAGUAUUUGGUGAACACUUUUAUUUAUGGAAGUUAUGAAUGGAUUAUUAUUGAA